rnacentral:rRNA from 1 species
GAUGAACGCUAGCGGCAGGCCUAAUACAUGCAAGUCGGACGGGAUCCAUCGGUAGCUUGCUAUCCAUGGUGAGAGAGGCGCACGGGUGCGUAACGCGUGAGCAACCUGCCUCCAUCAGGGGGAUAGCCUCUCGAAAGAGAGAUUAACACCGCAUAACAUAUCAGACCGGCAUCGGUCGGAUAUCAAAUAUUUAUAGGAUGGAGAUGGGCUCGCGUGACAUUAGCUUGUUGGUGGGGUAACGGCCCACCAAGGCGACGAUGUCUAGGGGCUCUGAGAGGAGAAUCCCCCACACUGGUACUGAGACACGGACCAGACUCCUACGGGAGGCAGCAGUAAGGAAUAUUGGUCAAUGGGCGGAAGCCUGAACCAGCCAUGCCGCGUGCAGGAUGACUGCCCUAUGGGUUGUAAACUGCUUUUGUCCGGGAAUAAACCUCCUUACGUGUAGGGAGCUGAAUGUACCGGAAGAAUAAGGAUCGGCUAACUCCGUG